CCUGCCUAUAGAAAAAUCAACAACGAAACCCUUAUGUGGUUUCAAACAGGUGAUUAGAUUGAACCUCUUCCCCACCAAGAGUAACAAGUCAUAGAGUACCCUGCCAGGUAAAGAUUCAUCAAAAGCUGAGGUGCUGAAUGAGGACAAAGGAAACAUGGAAUGUAUGGUGUAAGAAGGAAAUUAUUAAGUCAACCCUGGAUAUGUGAUCAGCAUCAGAAAGGAGAACUUUGGAGUUAUGCAUAUUUUCUUCCUUGCUUUUAUGUACUUUACAUGUUUACCUAUCCUUUCCUCUCACUUUCCCAAUCUGCGAUUUCUAAUAUAUGUUAAUUGUAGGUUACCCUAUAAUUCAGGGCUUAAAUUACAAGAUACUAAUGGAAAUUUUGUCUGAGUCUUAAAAUGAAGGCCAUUAUUGAAAGAUGAAA